GACGAACGCUGGCGGCGUGCUUAACACAUGCAAGUCGAACGGAAAGGCCCUGCUUUUGUGGGGUGCUCGAGUGGCGAACGGGUGAGUAACACGUGAGUAACCUGCCCUUGACUUUGGGAUAACUUCAGGAGACUGGGGCUAAUACCGGAUAGGAGCUCCUGCUGCAUGGUGGGGGUUGGAAAGUUUCGGCGGUUGGGGAUGGACUCGCGGCUUAUCAGCUUGUUGGUGGGGUAGUGGCUUACCAAGGCUUUGACGGGUAGCCGGCCUGAGAGGGUGACCGGCCACAUUGGGCCUGAGAUACGGCCCAGACUCCUACGGGAGGCAGCAGUGGGGAAUAUUGCACAAUGGGCGGAAGCCUGAUGCAGCAACGCCGCGUGCGGGAUGACGGCCUUCGGGUUGUAAACCGCUUUCGCCUGUGACGAAGCGUGAGUGACGGUAAUGGGUAAAGAAGCACCGGCUAACUACGUG
rnacentral:rRNA from 1 species